AAAAAUGCUCAAAACUGUUCAACUGAAGUAGAAUAGUCCCCCAAAACUGACUUUCUAAGAUAAAAUGGACAAAAGGAAAAAUUGCCCCAGCUGAACAGCUUUAAGAUUCUUCAGAAUAACCAAGUGCAUUCUCACUGCAGGUUCUAAAACUCUCCCCGAUACCUGAGUUGACAGAAAGCAAUUACAGAGCAAGAACGAAACCUGGAAGCACGAUCCGGGGUUUAUUGACCUUGGCUCGUCUAGAGACGAGGGCGUGAGCUGCAUUCUGUCUUCGGCGCCGAGAGGGGCCACCUUGACAGAUACCAGGAGGCACUGGAAUGGAACAAAGCUUCGCCUGGCAGAAGCACAGCAUGGAGCAUAGGCUGCGUUAAAGAAAUCAGCACGCACGUGGACAGGACAAGGGGGACGGAGUGGAGAAGCUGUGAGUCCAGACAGGGGUGUCUAAGGAUUGUACGUCCACUUGAUCAUCUCUACAACUUUGCUGGGACAUUCAAAACCUGCAGAAAAUCUCAUUUCCUUUUGGUAAUCUUCUUCCUAUUUGAAUUUUACUACGUGUACCAGAAUCUGGGAUUCCCCUCUCAUCUGCACGGGUUAAUUGUCUCUACGACUCCAUCAGCAAGUCAGCACCUACUCUUAGGAUAUUUUCUCUCAUCUUACUUAUCAAACAAUCUUGCAGUGUUGAAAAGGUUUUUCAGCAGUGUGAGCCACUGUAGAGGGAGGUGCUGAUUUUGCACACUGUGUAUCUCCCCACUUGUUUGUUCUGUGUGCCCAACUAUACUGCAGACCCCUUCAGGACGCAGAGGGAGACGUUUGUAUCCCAGCAACAAAGUGAACAGACUAGUGCUCGACAUCUGAUUGAUGGUUGCUCAUUGGCCUCCCAUAAGAGUGGUAACCAAAAAACUUUUCUGAUACUAAUUUAAUAUUACGUAAAUUGUAAAAAAAAGAUAUUUUACUUAUUAACAGAGAGCUUCUCUUAUUAAUUGAUUUAUUCAACAUAUAUGGAGCACCUACUGUGUACUGGGCACUAGCCAGACUGGGGGCACAUAAAGGAGGGAAAAACCAAACUCCCAAGAGUCGAGGGUCUUAGCCUAAUCUUUGGUGGGAGACAGACUCACGAAGGCAGUGGAAGGCGAGGGCUGUGUGAGGAGUGAUGCCAACGGGGGCCCUGGUACACAUACUACGUCCUUUCUAGCGGAACUGCUUUUUCCUUGGUAUGAUGUUAACAAAAACAGUCAUAAAAGGUGCCAUUUACUGAACACUUACUACGCAACAGGCACUGUGACCUUGGCCUGCCAUUAUUUCAUUACCCUCAUGAUAACCAUUUUCAGAUGAGAAAACGAAGGCUCAGAGAAGUUAGGCAACUUGCCCAGUGUCACACAGCUGGAUAAGCGGCAGAGCUAAGACUCCAGCCCAACUUUGACUAAGUCCGGCUCCUCUCAGUCCCUCUCCUGUACUUGCAGAGGGUCAUUGUGGUGUGUAUCGGUGGAACACGUCUCAUUCACAUACAUUCUUUUUCUGUGGAAUUUCUUCGCACUUCUGAGUAAUAUAAACCCACUUGCUCAGUUACUUUGGGGACAGGAAAGCACUACUGGAUGCUGCCAGAACAGACAACAAAGAUACCACCUGGAAGUUUUCUCCAGCUUCCUCAGAAUUGUUUUAUAUCCUGAGAGUAUUUAAUGAAUUGAGAAAACAUUCUAAAUUUUCAUGUCUCUGCUAAAAUUUUAAUCUCCUGGCCCUAUUUAUGCAAAAAUAAAUCGAGGAAAAGAAAAAUUACAGCUACGGACAUUGUCAACUGUGAUUUUUUUUUUUUAACAAAACCAAAAAUGUAUCCAUUUUCAACAGGGUGGCGGGGGCAACUAAAACACAGAAAGACUGAGUGACUUUCCCAAGA